AAAACGGCGUUGUUUUUUUGCGUUUUGGUUAAAAGAAGAAGACCCAAAUUCUAGUCGUCAGUCAGAGGAAACCCUUGCCCUCCCCUCGAGCCUCAUUUCUGAUUCCUCAGACUCAGUGUUAUUUCUCCCCAAAAUACAAACCUAGCCUCAGCGCGCCGCCGUUGGUCUGACCGUUGCCGGCGGGUUCGUCGUGGUCGGUUGACAAUCCUCCUGUUUCCAAGUGGCCGAAGGCCCUUCCAUUCCCCCGACGCAAGGGUCUCCAGGUCAUGGUCGGUCGUCGUCUGGCGGUCGUGUGCGUGGCCAGGUCGUCGUCGUCCGUCCCCUGCUCGGUUGUGACCGUCGCCAGCUGCCCAUCUGCUGUGGCUGUCCCACAAAUCUGUUGCUACGGCACAGGCAUCUGGUUCUUUGUUUCCGCGCUGGUGUCCCCGUUCUUCUUCCUCUCUGCAUUAUCAUUUAGCCAGUCCCCACCGCGGAGGUUAAUCGUGCCAGCUGCCACGACCCCUGCUCAACUGCUCCUUCCCCUAUUCCGAAGCUCAGGAACAUAUUAACGAAGGCUGAGGUUCUGAAAUUGAAUUUAUUGGUCACUGACUAGUUUGGUUAUUGUUCUGGUCAUCACUGAUGGUAUUGUCGUCUUGUUCUGAAUAUCAAUAAACUGAUUAUUUGCUCUAAUUAAAACGUUUUUGUGGUAAGCUGUUAUUACAUUGAUUGAUGUGGUUAUUGUUGAUGUACACGAGGGAAUGUGGUGUUGAUGUUGUGUAUGGGAAUGGGGUUUGCGUUAGGUACUAUGGUUGUUAAUUUUUUACUGUGAUAUUGAAAUUGUAAGCCAUUGUUGUUGUGAUUUGUAAUUACUUUGCAUGUGCUUUUGGCUUUUUAGAAAAUUGGCUAUGGCGAUGGUUAGUUUAGCAUUAGAAAGAAGAGAAGUAUGUUUGAGUGGAUUGAACGCAUCCUCCUUGCCUUUGGAUUCCUUUUUGAUCUAAACGUCAAAGUAAACCUGCUUUUACAAGGAGUUAUAAAUUGCUACUUCUCAAAAGUGGAGGCUUCAAAAGCGUAAAACGAAACCAUUGGUGCCAAAAAUGUGCUUGCUUCAAUGACAUUCUAUGACCAAAACUGAUUGUAUAGUAUUAUGAUACUUAAUGCUUUCUAUUUUUUUUACCUUGUUAAUAACAGAUACUAAUAUUAUUUUUCUGUUUGUAAUUUUUAGAAUCAAUAACAAUACGUGACCUUUGUGUAAAUUAAAUUAGAUAAUUAAAAAAUUUAGAUACU